UACGUAGGGGGCAAGCGUUGUCCGGAAUCAUUGGGCGUAAAGCGCGCGUAGGCGGCCCGGUAAGUCCGCUGUGAAAGUCAAAGGCUCAACCUUUGAAUGCCGGUGGAUACUGUCGGGCUAGAGUCCGGAAGAGGCGAGUGGAAUUCCUGGUGUAGCGGUGGAAUGCGCAGAUAUCAGGAGGAACACCGAUGGCGAAGGCAGCUCGCUGGGACGGUACUGACGCUGAGGCGCGAAAGCGUGGGGAGCGAACAGG
rnacentral:rRNA from 1 species